UACAGAGGGGGCAAGCGUUGUUCGGAAUUACUGGGCGUAAAGGGCGCGUAGGCGGCCUGUUAAGUCGAACGUGAAAUCCCCGGGCUCAACCCGGGAACUGCGUCCGAUACUGGCAGGCUUGAAUUCGGGAGAGGGAUGUGGAAUUCCAGGUGUAGCGGUGAAAUGCGUAGAUAUCUGGAGGAACACCGGUGGCGAAGGCGGCGUUCUGGACUGUUACUGACACUGAGGAACGAAAGCCAGGGGAGCAAACGGG
rnacentral:rRNA from 1 species